GGCGGGUCUUGGAUGUUGGGCAACAGCUGAGAGGGCGUCCUUAGCGUGUCCGCGCCCGCGGGUUUCUCCGGGCUCUCCGCAGGCGUCGUGCCCGCGUCCGUCACGCGUGGUGGCUCUCAGGGGCGCACCGCCCAGGCCCUUUGCCGGGCGCUGGGAGGGCGGGGCCCUACACCAGCGACAGCCUUAAAGGAAAACGUGUUAGGGACAAGGGGGUUGUAGACUCAUUUGUGUUCUGAAUUCUGGUGGGGUAGUGAUGGAAGCUGCCCCAGUUCACAGAAUUAUCUGACUGGGGAGGUAAAGGUACUUGAAUUGCAGGUGCCGUUUUUGGCCCUGUGUCCCCUUUAUUUUGGCCCAGUGUGCUUCCGUUUGAGUAGUCUGUAGUGGAACUUUUUUUUUUUAAAGUUAUUUGAAAACACGUGAUGGAGCAGAAUGAGAGUAGUAGGGAGGAAUUCCUGGGAAUUUGCCUUUUUUUUUCCCCCCUUUCUUAACCUUAAGGAGUUUCCACUUGUCGAUUGUGGCAAAAGAAGAGGUAUGGGAGAUCUCACCUACAACAUCAAAAAUCACCUUUUCUAUUUGUUUUUCUGUUCGCUGGUGUGAGUAAAAUACCAAAUGAAAAUAAAAAGUUAAGGAAAAAAAAUCAAGGUGAACUGAAGAAAAUAAGUCCCCAAAGCAGGCAGAAGAUGGGGAAGAUGAGAUGUCAGAAGCUAAGGACAAUAGCAGUAGAGAUGAGAUAUUGAAGUCUUUACUAUGUUCUUCUGAGAGCCUCUCCUUUGAAAUUUGAAAAUAGGUUUAAGUUGAGUCCUGAAAGAAUUAAGAUGGGACUGUCUAGUUGCAGGAAAACAAGCUCAAGGCACCCACUGAUUCUACAUCUAUGGUUCUUGUCCCUCAUAAGAAUUGUGGGAAGAAUACUACUGCCCCAGGAAGGAAAGUAGGGGAGGAAGUCUCUGGCUCCUGUGUUUGCUGAGAAGUUAAUAUCACCAAGCAGGAGGGGAGCCAAGCUCAAGGACCAUGAGAGCCACCAGGAGAAUGACGACCGGAACAGUGAAUUGGACCAGGAUGAGGAAGGAGAUUUGGCUAUGUGAAUUUUAAAUCUGCUGAUGAUCAAGAAAAGGCCCUGGAACUAAGUGAUACAAAAGUCCUUGGGUUUGAAAUUAAAUUUAAGAAACCAAAGAGAAAGGAAACAAAGAUCAAAAUGCCGAAACACUUUGACUCAAGAACCUGCCUGACAAAGUCAUUCCACAUGAAACACUUCUUGUGUUUGAGGAUGCUUUUCAAAUCAGAUUAGUGAGCAAAGAUGGGAUGAGUAAAAGGAGUCACUUUGUGCUAAAAAGUUAAAAAUGGAUCCCGUCAUGGACACAGUAAUUUACAGCAUAACCUGGAUACAUUCCCAUGGCUCAAACCAUAGAAAGUUCAACACUUUGUUCAGUGAGUUAGAUGCACAAUAUGGAAGCCUGUUCUGUGACAUGGAAGUGAAGUGGAUGAGUCGUGGUAUGGUGCUAAAGCAGUUUUUUGAACUGUUGGAAGAAAUUGACUUUUUCAUGUCUUCUAAAGGAAAAUCUGUGCCUCAGCUCACUAGCAAAAAUUGGGUCAAAGACUUAGCCUUUUUGAUUGACAUGACAACACAUCUAAAUACGUUGGAUAUUUCUCUGCAAAGGCAUUCACAAGUGGUUACACAAAUGCAUGAUUCAAUUUACUAAUUCCUAGCAAAAUUAUGUCUUUGGGAAACUCAUUUGACAAGGAACAAUCUGGCCCACUUCCCUACACUGAAAUUAGUUUCUGAAAAAGAAAGCAAUGGCCUGAACUAUAUUCCAAAAAUUAAAGAAUUGAAGAGUGAAUUCCAAAAAGGAUUCUCUGAUUUCAAACUUUAUGAAAAUGAACUGAUAUUGUUCAGUUCACCUUUCUUGAUGAGUGUUAAUCAUGUGAAUGAAGAGCUGCAAAUGGAAAUUAUUGAAUUGCAGUGCAACACUAUACUGAAAACUAGAUAUGAUGAUGUGGGAAUCCCAGAAUGCUACAGAU